rnacentral:siRNA from 1 species
GCGGUCGCUGGUCGCUACUUUUGG